ensembl:rRNA LOC120097192 5S ribosomal RNA
GUCUACCACCAUACCACGCUGAACGCGCCAGAUCUCUUCUGAUCUCGGAAGCUAAGCAGGGUCAGACCUGGUUAGUACUUGGAUGGGAGACCUCCUGGGAAUACCAGUUGCUGCAGGCU